AUAAGUACCACUGUAAAGAAGGUGGGGGCUUCCCUGGUAACUCAGAUGGUAAAAGUGUCUGCCUACAAUGCGGGAGACCUGGGUUCGAUCCCUGGGUCAGGAAGAUCCCGUGGAGAAGGCAAUGGCAACCCACUCCAGUACUCUUGCCUGGAAAAUCCCAUGGAUCAAGGAGCCUGGUAGGCUACAGUCCAUGGGGUUGCAAAGAGUUGGACACAACUGAGCAACUUCACUUGUUUUCAUAAAGAAGGUAGAUGUCAGAGACCACACCAAGAGCCUUCCAGUGUGUUACCUUAUUUAAUCCUCACAGUGUCCAUGAGAGAGAGGUUUAACACCUCCACAUUUAUGGAUCAAGAAAUACCCAGACAAAGAUUUUGAGUAAAAUAACGUAUCUUAAUGGCACAGCAGAGAAAGGAGUGACUUGCUCUGCCUGGGAAGUAGGAAAAUUUUCACAGAAAAAGUGGCAUUUAACAUUAACUGAGGAUUAGAAUGAGACAUCUGGCUGUGACUGAGACAUUCAAUGAAGAAGUGUUCAGCACUGAAAGAUGUUAAGUGGGUUGCCUCCCUCCUUAAAAAAAAAAAAAAAAAAAUUUCUCAGAAAUGCCCAAACAGAAAAUGAGACUGACUAUGUGGGGAGAGGUCUUCAAAUCAAGUAACCCUGACUCAACUGCCCUUGAGAUUUACUGCUACUAGAAUAUUUGUAUUCUUAUCUUUACUACCAGCUAUGGCCAGAGAGUGGACAUGGACCAUUGCACAGGGAAUCAACGUGCAAAACUUUACCGGAUGUUUUUGGAGGAUGAAUAUAAAGCAGGAAGUCGAAGAGUUGAAGAGCAUGCUGGGCAUCUAUCAAAGUUUAUGAUGUGCCCCACAGGAGUCAGUAAGAGCUGGCCCAGGCUGUGUGUGCUCUGCAGUGGCCUUCCCUUUCUGUGAUCAUCCCUGCUGCAGAAGCCAUUACCAGAAUUUAGGAGUGAGAUGGUUUCUGGAGGGAAUUCCUCUGGAUAUGAAGUUAAAAUGUCUGAGUUGACCUGGGACUCUGACCCAGGCAGUGGGAGGAGCUUUCUCCAUCCUUCUGUCUGGAACAGCGGCUCCAACCUAGAGAACACGCUGCUCGUGUGCUCCACACUGACACCUCCAGGCAAGUCAGGCAACAGCAACCCUGCGAUGAAAGCAGCCUCCUCCUUGGCAUGA
rnacentral:lncRNA from 1 species